rnacentral:rRNA from 1 species
AGACGUCUACAUUAGAUACCCCGGUAGUCCCAGCCGUAAACUAUGCGCGUUAGGUGUAUCGGUGACCACGAGUUACCGAGGUGCCGAAGGGAAACCGUGAAACGUGCCGCCUGGGAAGUACGGUCGCAAGGCUGGAAACUUAAAGGAAUUGGCGGGGAGCACCACAACGGGUGGAGCCUGCGGUUUAAUUGGACUCAACGCCGGGAAGCUCACCGGAUAAGACAGCGGAAUGAUUGCCGGGCUGAAGACUCUGCAUGACUAGCUG